rnacentral:rRNA from 1 species
CCUAGUAACUGCGAGUGAAGCGGGAAAAGCUCAAAUUUAAAAUCUGGCGGUCCUUGUGGCUGUCCGAGUUGUAAUCUAGAGAAGUGCUAUCCGCGCUGGACCGUGUACAAGUCUCCUGGAACGGAGCGUCAUAGAGGGUGAGAAUCCCGUCUUUGACACGGACUACCAGGGCUUUGUGAUGUGCUCUCAAAGAGUCGAGUUGUUUGGGAAUGCAGCUCUAAAUGGGUGGUAAAUUCCAUCUAAAGCUAAAUAUUGGCGAGAGACCGAUAGCGAACAAGUACCGUGAGGGAAAGAUGAAAAGAACUUUGGAAAGAGAGUUAAACAGUACGUGAAAUUGUUGAAAGGGAAACGCUUGAAGUCAGUCGCGUUGUCCGGGGAUCAACCUUGCUCUUUUGCUUGGCGUACUUCCCGGUUAACGGGUCAGCAUCAAUUUUGACCGGUGGAUAAAGGUCAGGGGAAUGUGGCAUCUUCGGAUGUGUUAUAGCCCUUGGUUGCAUACAUCGGUUGGGAUUGAGGAACUCAGCACGCCGCAAGGCCGGGUCUUUGACCACGUACGUGCUUAGGAUGCUGGCAUAAUGGCUUUAAUCGACCCGUCUUGAAACACGGACCAAGGAGUCUAACAUGCCCGCGAGUGUUUGGGUGGAAAACCCGGACGCGUAAUGAAAGUGAAAGUUGAGAUCCCUGUCGUGGGGAGCAUCGACGCCCGGACCAGACCUUUUGUGACGGUUCCGCGGUAGAGCGUGUAUGUUGGGACCCGAAAGAUGGUGAACUAUGCCUGAAUAGGGUGAAGCCAGAGGAAACUCUGGUGGAGGCUCGUAGCGAUUCUGACGUGCAAAU